rnacentral:lncRNA from 1 species
UGGAGAAUAAACAUAUACUUGUGAAAAUUGUAAUUAUUUUUAGUACACAAACAAAAAAUAAUAUAAUAACAAAAAUUUAGCUUAUCAGAUGGGAUGUAAGCUGUGAAAAACACCAAAAUGAUCAUUUAAAACUUUCAAUCUAUAGUGUUUUUUUUUAAAUGAAGUAUUUAGGGUUAUAUCUACGAUUCAGAUGACUUCUUUUAAUGAAGAGUUACCCCCCGGUAAUGAAAAGACCGAGAGAGAUAUUAGGUUUUAAAUCGGGAUUUUACAGAAAUAAUAUAGAACAAUGUCCACUGUUUAAAAUCAAUUUGGGAGAGACUGUAACAGGAUAAAGGAGAAAAAAAGUUCGAAAUCAAUUGUUUCCUCACAAAAGAGUAUUUAUUAAAUAUUAUGUUUCGACCAAAUGUCAAAAUUAAUCCCUCGGCGAAAUUUAUUUACGGCAAAUUGUUCUUCGGCAAAUUGAUUGUUCGGCAAAUUGUCUGUUCGGCAAAAAUGUUUUCGCCUAAUUGCCACUCAACCUCAUAAUCAUUUGAAAUAGUCAGAAUACGUUGGUGACAAUCACGAUAUCGUCUUCUUUGAACUGGCGAAUGAUGACCUGCAAGCUGUUAAAUUAUCUGUAUGAGAUUAAUAUAGGCUACUAAUGUACUUGAUAUUGGAAGGAUGGUACCCUCGGUUUUUCUGCAAAAGUGGUUUCAUGCUAUCCAGUUCUCUGGAAGUUUCUCGAACUUUUAAAGGAUGAAGAAAUGAAAAAACUUGAUACGCAUAGAGAUCAUUCAACAACUUGCAAGUCAUCCUUUCAAUUCUGCUCAGAAUCCAAAAAUGACUUAAAAUUAAUACUCUGCAACAAAUCUUCAAGGUUGGUCUUCAUCUUUUAUGAGUAGCCGUGAAUGUUCAGGUUUUGAAUAUAAUUGAAUGUAGUAGAAAAAGAAGUUUAAAUAAUUAAAUAAUAAUAACAACAGCUAAAGAAGGAUAAGCAUGGAGAGGCCACUUUUUACAUCUGCAAUGAAAGAACCCCAUCUCCUUCUCUGCAAUAUUCUUUUUUGACACAUUGGACCAUCUACGUCCCUUAAGUCAACCACGUCAACUAUAUCUUUUGAGUGCAUGUCGAUGGGAAGUCCUGCAGUAUCCAUAAUCUAAACACGAGGCCUUCAAUACGACUGUCAGCUAGUACUAGGAAGCCUGGCAGAGGACUAUAUCCGAUUCUAAUGCCUACCUUCCAUCGCCGUCUGGAUGCAAUAAUUGCAGCUAAGGGUGUCUACAUGAAAGAUUAAGAGACCUGAGUUUUUGUUUCAAUGUGUUUGGAUUUUAAUGGACAUCUUGGUACUGUUCCUGCUCCAAAACACUCGAAGGGAAACACGUUUGCGGAACCGGAUGCUUUCUGAAGUAACUUAUUCCCUCUUUUAAUGAGUAUAAGAAGAGGCCAAUAAAUUUUGAUAGGUCAAAGUAGCACAUAACGCAAGGAAUAAGCUUUCGAUGAUGUUUAGCAAUCCCUUCAUAACCAAUGUUCCAACCUCUUUGAUAUUCUUUAAAUAUGUAUCUGUAAUGUUCACAUAAAUUGAAAAACUGUUUUUAUUCAUUUGUAAAUUAGUCAAACAAAAUAAAUUCUUAUUACUUUUUA